AAUUCCUCUGGAUUUUACAGUUUAUGUGGAUGAUUACGUCAUCCCUUCAUGUGAUGAUGGCGAUUACUUCCCACUAUUUUUGCCACCAACUCCGCCUAAUGGUGCCAAUCUACCUGCCUUUGUAAAUGAAAGAUUUGACAUCAAAGUCAGGUCCAAGGCUCAGUAUGCAAUGAUUGAUAAUCUUAUUGUGACAGGACCACAACGCAUUUCUAAGGAAAAGGUUUCAGAAGACACAUACAUCAUAAAAUGGACACCAAAUGACUCAGAGCUGCAUAAUCACUUUCCAAUUUGCUUUGUGUCUGAAGCAAUAGACGGACAACAAAGGGUCUUCCAUUCAGAACUGCGAUGUUUGACUGUUUCAGUUGAACGUCAUG